GUGUCUCCUGGGGGAAACAAUAUAGGUAUGACCAGCAAGGCUUCUCCAGAAGCUUGGUGAAGCUUGCGCCCCACCUGGAUACUCACUCUUUGCCUUCUUCAUCAAUGUCAUCUACCUCAUACCUGUGGGCAAACAAAAAAAGAAAUGGUGCUGGGACAAAGGGUACAGUUUGCAUUCGGGACUGAGGAUGACUGGCUGAAGAAGCUCGAGGGAGCCCACCCAUCACCCUCUGGGGAAAGUUUCCCUCCCAUGCUGUGGAAGCUGCUGUGGUGAGAAUGCAGUCAGGCACACUCACUUGUUGGUAGCGUGGCUGUAACUGACUACUUCAGCUAGGAUCCACUGCUCGUCCCCUUCCACAGCCUUCACUCUAGCAGCCACCUUGUCUCCAGGUUUGGCCACAUAGUCCCCUGAGGCUGGAAUGGCUCCACAGAGGGGUGGGGGCCUGUGGAGAAAGCCUGUUAGUCUGGACCCCUGACACCAGCCCUCCCUGGCUAGUUCCUGCCCUUACUUGUCACCAGGCUUCCCGAUCCAGAGGGGCAGGGUCAUGGCUGACUGCUGCAGCAGCGUCAUCAGCACCCCUCUGCGCAUGGUCUUCCUUGGCGGCUCCGAGUCAUUGUAGAGACCUGCGAUCUUGGCCGCUGUGGGAAGCAAGUGAACCUCUGAGGCCCUGUGGGUGGUGCCUGACCCCGUCACAGCCCAGUAGCUGCUCUGAGGUAGAGCACAUUAUGCUGGGAUCCCCGAACCUCAUCCAUAUCCAUUCUAACAGACACCCGAGGCUGAUGUCUAAGGAAUUGACAGGUCUAACUCACAAAUGGGUGAGAUGUCAGGACGGUGGCCCCUUCAUAAAGAAGAACUAAAAAUGUACAUGGGGGGGGGGGGCUUCCUGGAUGCAGGUUUCACUCUGGUUCCUGAUGGGUGCUAGAUAGGCAAAUGUGCUGGGUCAAUGAAAACUCCUAGAAUGAUACAUCUAUGUGGGUCUCCUUUCAUUAGUGUAUGGACCUUUUGCAAAAGUUGCAUAGGUUAUCUAGUGUAGACCCUUGGCCUCGUCAGCCAUGGCUCAUCACAUUCUUCAACUGAAAACAAAACAAAACAAAAACAAACAAAGAAAAAUGGUACCGUGAUCACACUAAGAGGCAAAGAGUUGCCCCUGGGGCAAGACAGAGGUCAGGAAGCCAAGGAAAUGGUACCUGAGGAGACCUAAAAGGAAGGGGCCUAAGCCGGCUUCAAAUGUGUGGCUCGCGUGGGAAUACAAAGUGACAGAUUGUAGAAAGGAGAGAGAUGACCAGCCCUGGCAAGGAUGAGCAAGGGCAGUGUGAGGGGUGAGACAGAGACCUGGGCAAGCUCUGCUUCAGACAGCCCUGUGGGGUGACUCCACUGUGUCCCAUGCUCCCCUGCCAGGGACCAUGACUGCUAUCCCCCAAGUCCCAACUUUGCCUGGUCAAGAAAAGCCCUGCAUUUUAUUUUCUCCCACUCACCAAUCCGCCUCUCUUCCAACAGAGACUUGAUCUCCGCUAUCUUAUCCAGUGCUUUGCGGAGGAUGCUGGGCAAGAAAGGGAGAAAAGCAUGCUGGGCGGCUGCUGCAACCCUGUUCUGAGUUUGACGUCAUUUUAGCUACACAAUGAGCUCCAGCUCUGCCUGGGCUAGAGUGAGGCCUUGCUUCCAACACAAAAGGAGACUGCAGAGAUGCCCCAAGGAGUUAGGGACCUGCUGUGCCAGCCUGACAGCCGUAUGGAAGCCAGACACCACGGUGUGUGCCUACAAUCCCAGCACGGGUUACCACAGAGGCAGCAGGAUCCCUUGAGCUCACGAGCCAAUCAGCCUGGCCAAAUCAGUGAGUUCCAGGCUCAGUGAGAGACCUAAGGAGGACAAUAACCAAGGAAGACAUCUAAUGUCGACCUCUGACCUCCACAUGCACGCUCAGCCACGUGCACUCACACUCACAUGCCUGGGGACCUACACAAACGUAUGUACAUACUGCAUAAACACAUAAACCACAUGCACACACAACAUCAUAUAAAUAACAAAUAAAGAAGAGAGGAAGGAAACGACAAUAUUAUCCCAAAUAGCUCAGUCAACUGGUCUGUAUAUGUCAUAAUCCUGUGACAGAGGCCCCAUGGGAUAAUAAAGACAAACAAAUUGUACAGCUUAA